rnacentral:sRNA from 1 species
CGGGAAUGAUCUGCGGGCAGAUGAAAUGCACGUGGCAGUCGAUCCCGCCGGCGGUGAGGAUCUUCCCGUUGCCCGCGAUGAUCUCGGUGGACGGGCCGAUCACCAGGCCGGGGUGCACGCCGUCCAUCGUGUCCGGGUUCCCCGCUUUGCCGAGCGCGACGAUCCGCCCGUCGCGGAUGCCGACGUCGGCUUUGACGACGCCCCACCAGUCGAGCACCACCACGCCGGUGAUGACCGUGUCGGGCGCCCCCUCCGCGCGGGUCGCCCUGCCCUGCCCCAUCGACUCG